GAUGAACGCUGGCGGCGUGCCUAAUACAUGCAAGUCGAGCGAACAGACGAGGAGCUUGCUCCUCUGACGUUAGCGGCGGACGGGUGAGUAACACGUGGAUAACCUACCUAUAAGACUGGGAUAACUUCGGGAAACCGGAGCUAAUACCGGAUAAUAUAUUGAACCGCAUGGUUCAAUAGUGAAAGACGGUUUUGCUGUCACUUAUAGAUGGAUCCGCGCCGCAUUAGCUAGUUGGUAAGGUAACGGCUUACCAAGGCAACGAUGCGUAGCCGACCUGAGAGGGGGAUCGGCCACACUGGAACGUAGACACGGUCCAGACUCCUACGGGAGGCAGCAGUAGGGAAUCUUCCGCAAUGGGCGAAAGCCUGACGGAGCAACGCCGCGUGAGUGAUGAAGGUCUUCGGAUCGUAAAACUCUGUUAUUAGGGAAGAACAAAUGUGUAAGUAACUAUGCACGUCUUGACGGUACCUAAUCAGAAAGCCACGGCUAACUACGUG
rnacentral:rRNA from 1 species